rnacentral:misc_RNA from 1 species
GAUGAAGAACGUAGCGAAAUGCGAUAAGUAAUGUGAAUUGCAGAAUUCAGUGAAUCAUCGAAUCUUUGAACGCACAUUGCGCCCUUUGGUAUUCCGAAGGGCAUGUCUGUUCGAGCGUCAUUAUCACCCCUCAAGCCCUCGGCUUGGUGUUGGACGGUUUGGUGGAGGCCCCCUCGGGGGCUCCUGCCCCUCCCAAAGACAAUGACGGCGGCCUCGUUGGACCCCCGGUACACUGAGUUCUUCACGGGACACGUAUCGGACACAUGGGUUUACGGGACACGGUCUGCCUCCCCUCAGGGAGAAUCUUUCUAAGGUUGACCUCGGAUCAGGUAGGGAUACCCGCUGAACUUAAGCAUAUCAAUAAGCGGAGGA